rnacentral:tRNA from 1 species
GCCCUCGUAGCUCAGUGGAUAGAGCGCCGGUUUCCUAAACCGGGCGCGCAGGUUCGAUUCCUGCCGGGGGCA